rnacentral:rRNA from 1 species
UACGUAGGGGGCAAGCGUUGUCCGGAAUUAUCGGGCGUAAAGAGCGUGUAGGCGGUCCGGUAAGUCAGCUGUGAAAGUCAAGGGCUCAACCCUUGAAUGCCGGUUGAUACUGUCGGGCUAGAGUCCGGAAGAGGCGAGUGGAAUUCCUGGUGUAGCGGUGGAAUGCGCAGAUAUCAGGAGGAACACCGAUGGCGAAGGCAGCUCGCUGGGACGGUACUGACGCUGAGGCGCGAAAGCGUGGGGAGCGAACAGG